UGAACCAAACGGAGCCUCGUUUUUCUGCCCAAAAACGAGAAACAUUUCCCUCUCUUUCGCCCAAAAUCUCUCUUUGUCGCUCUUCCACUGAAUUGCAGAGGUUUCUCGUUGCAACAAUCAAUUUUCUUCUCAAAUCUUUUCAAUCAAUCUUCUAAUUGCUCUUUUCUUCUCAAUCUUCUUGUUGUUGGGACUUGUCUAAUUGGUCUGUCCUUCUAAAUCUUCUUGUCUUUGCGAUUAGGGCAAAAGGUUGAAUGGAUUAAUCAAUCUGGGCCGUUGAAGAGAAGAAAGGGUUUGUGAAGGGAGAGUUAGGGCAUUUCGGUCAUUGUGAAGCUAAUCUGUGUGGGAACAAUGAAUCUUCAGAUUGUGUGGAAACUAUUGAUAAAGAAUGUGGUGGAUGAUGAGUAAUGAAGGUGGCCAUUACUGUUCGAAAAAGAGUGAUGAUAUUUGCUGUGAUGUUUGUCGCCAGUAUUUGAUUGCAGGGUUAGUUAUGAAUACAAAGCUGUGAACUUGGUGAAGGAAGAGCAAAACAGUCCUGAGUUUAGAAAGCUCAAUCCUCUUGGUUAUGUGCGGUUUUGGUAGAUGGAGAG